UCCCGUGACCAGUGAUUUUCCUGUAAGCUCAUUAUUCUGAGUGAUGGUCUGGCUGGCUAGGGCUACUGGCUGCUGAAAGGCUCUGCAGAAACGCGGGUAGUCUGAGCGAUGCUGCCCGCCUCUCUACCCGGGCUCCAGUUGUGGAGUACACGGCUCUGUUCAUGGAGGCCAUGCACACUGGCCACAGAGAAGCAGCCCAGCUGCAGAAGGAUCCACGUGAGCAUUUUGCAUUCUCACAGGUCAAAUGAGAGAACUUCCCAGACUUAUUCAGAAGAUACACUGAGACACAAAAAUAUCACUCAGCCAAUAAGUGGUUGAGGCAGGACUGAAACCCAAGAAGCUUCGUGACGGUUGUGAUGAGUCACAUCACAAUGGUGGUGGCAUCCAGACAUGAUCUUGAAACCCAACCACCAUGUUGUGAAGAAGCCUGCAGCCCAUGGAGAAGUCCAGAUAGCUAGAAACUGAGGCCAAAGGCCCACAUUCCCUGCUGAGCUCCCAGAUUUCAGUCAGUCCCAAGUGCCAGCAUAUGAAGAAGACAUCUUGAAAGUAGAUGCAAGCCACUCCAGCCAAUGAAAUGUACAGCAGAGAUGUGCUUCCCUUUUAAUCCCUGCCCAAAUAACAGAUUCAUGAACAAAAUAAAGCACUGUUGUACUUUUAA